CAGAGGAAUACAUAAUACAUUGCAUUAUAGUAUGGCAUAUCUGGAUUUAUCAAUUGCUGUGCACCUGUGGUGGUGCUGCUAAGUAGGAAAACCUCACAGAGUUGUGAAUAUAAGGCAGAACCAGCCCUUCCAAGUAAUGGGGGGAUGCCACUUACCUUUACGCUUUUUUUGAUAGAUGACUCGCAAUAUUGGGAUAUUUCAGUACAAGCGGAAUAGGGUCAAAAACAUUAAAUAUAUAACCAAUUAAUAUAUUUUGUGAUUCCAUGUUAUUGUUAUUGUUAUUAUUAGAAAGGAAAAUUUACAACUGCUCUUGGAGCUGAAAACAUACAAUUGUAAAAUCAUAUUGUUUCACCAAAACUCUGUUUGUGAUCCGCAAAGAAUGUUCUGUCGCAAACCUUUAAAACAGAAAACACAUGGUUUAAAAUUAAAUAAAUCCAGCAAAUCAGGAACAUAUGUUGACUGGUGAGUAGUUUAUUUCAUCAGUCAAUUGAUAAUAGCUCAAUAAACACAUUGGCAGAUAGGGUUCACCGCAUAUGUUGUAAGUGAUAACCCUGUCCAUGUAAUACCAGAUGAAAUCUGACACUUUCAUGGCUGUUUACAACACUGUGUUAUUGGACAUAGAAUGGUAUAAUAAAGAAAAAGAUCAAGCCUUUUAUUGCAUUCAUGUGUCAUAAUAAACAAAUGGAUCUCACAUAUACUGUAUGUAAAAAGAGUCUGGAUGUUUAGGAGCAUUACAAUAUGAUGACUAGAUUGAUUUAUAUGGGUUGUUUUGUUCACUGUCCCACAUUGCGGUGAUGCGGAGAGACACAGAGGAGAUUAUUUGUUGAAUAAAGUCUUUUUUUUCUUCUUCGAAUUCAAAAAGUAUUCUCAUUCCUUCAUAAACUUACGGCUGAACCAUUGAUGGCAGAUGGACUAUUCUGACAAUGCUUUUCAUACUUUUCUGGACUUUGACAGUGGAAUUUACUUGGCAGCCUAUGAGUGAGUCACAAGCCUGCCGGUUUUCAUCUAAAAUAUCUUAAAUUGUGUUCCAAAGACGAACUAAGCUUUUACGGGUUUGGAACGACAUGGGGGUAAGUGAUUAAUGACAAAAUUUCCAUUUUGGGUGGAGUAUCCCUUAAAAAAUAAUGCUGUUGGGGAUGUUUUGGUUACAUAGCUUAUAUAACCAAAUUAUAAUUAAUGAUCUAUACUAGUUUCCUUUUCAUACAAUGAAUAAUUAAGAAAAACUAAAAAAAUGUGUAAGUUUGCAUUAUUCCUCAUUCUCUCUCUGUCAUCAUUCUUUUAACUCUAUCUUUCUGUGCUGUUUGUACAUUCUAUGGGUGUAGGUGUGCUUAUCAAUAAGCAUAAUCAAACCAUUUGCUUGUGUUUCUCCACCUAAAGCCUGCGGACAUCUCAUAGCUACCUGUCUUCGAGAAUCUGAAAAAGAAAGAGAAAAAGAGUAUGCUUAUUGAGAGUACGCAAUUGUCUCAUUAAGUUGAAAGUUCACAGAGCAUUUUCUUUAAAGUGAAGCAAAGAGAGGCAGUCAGGCAUUCUGAG
ensembl:lncRNA